rnacentral:lncRNA from 1 species
AAAGUCCCUCCAUGUAAAUCACAGUCCUGUUGUCUUCUGUGUUGGAAUACAUCAGUGCUGCUGGCUCUUUACCCUGCAUGUCUGUCUUCUCCACUCACUGGAGAGUGAAAAACUGAAUGAUAACACCUGAUGACAGAAGCUAGGCAGGCCUGGAUGACAGUCUGAAUUCAAGCAGCUCAUCUCCCAGCUCCAUGUUUCAGGAUUUAAGGAAAAUUACUAACACCGCGUGGUCAGCAGACUGUGGGUGUACAGUCUCUGCGCUCGGGAACAGCGCUCGGUACAAGGCAAGUGUUCCAAUUUGCAAGGCAAGAAAGAGUUCACGGUUUUUAUGACUUAGCAUGAAAGCCAAACUAUCACUUUCACCAAAUUCAGCGUAUUAACAGCAAGUCACCAACCAUUCAGGAAAAUGCAUUUUCCAGUAAAAGGUUGAGCAAUGACUACAUAUUCAUCAUUCAAAUAAGAAAAAGUAUCUAUGGACAGUGACUGGUAAGGUCCCUGAAACAGAAACCCUUGCUUCAUUUGCAGUGCAUGGAUCCUGUCAUGAUCCAUGCGUGACCUCAACUCCAGCAUUAACCUGCACAUGCUCCAUUAUCUGUGUCGAACUUGACUGCCUAUUCAGUUUGGGCUCAGAAGGUGAUCACAGAGCACCCCUAAAGGCCACCCAGAUCCUAGUAGCCUAUUUUUGUCUGGAUUCAAUGGUGUCUUACACUAGAAGAGUAGCUAGCGUCAAUGGAAAUAGUUCAUGAGUCAUAUACAUAAGUUGCAUUUUUUUUUAAACAGGGGCACUAAAGAAAUGUAAAAAGGAACAGGUAUCAUUAAUUUUAAAGUUUUAUUUACUCCAAUACAUUCAAAAUGUUAUCCUCUAGAUAUGUAAUCAAUAUAAACGUUAUUGAGAUAGCCUAUUGAUUAAUCAAUACUCUGUUCUCUCUCUUUCUCUCUCUCUCUGCAUUAUCUUUGAGAUUCUCUGAUUAGUUUAUGCUUACAUCUCAAUUUUGAUGCUAAAUUCACAUCAGAAAUACAAUCUAUGUUUAGAGUUCAUAAAGUUCAUAGCUCAAAAAUAGACUCAUAUACCUUAAGUUGUUCCAAAUGUAAUUAUUUUCUAAUAUAAUAAAAUGAGAAAAAAUGC